rnacentral:tRNA from 3 species
AAUUAGGCGGUGUAAGAUCACGUUAAGUUGCAAACUUAAAGAAGAUGACUCUAAUUA